GAGACGAAGUCAGAUGCUCAACUUACUGAGCCACCGAAGUGCCCCAGAGGUUUUUUUGUUUUUUGCUUUUCAUGCAAAAUGUGAACAGAAGAUUAAAUAUGCCUCUAUAUUAUCAUAUACAAUGGGCACAAGCUCCUAAGUAUGACAAGUACUCCUUGGGAAGACAUUAUUGGUGUGCACUAGGCUGCCUGAGAGCCAUGGGGUUAGAAACUAAACCCAGAGAAGAUGAGUGUGGUUUAUAAAGCUGCGAAGUCAGGUACCCGCCUGUGUUAGGAAUCCACCCAGGAUAAUCAGAGGACAUUUUGGGGACUGGGUCCCAGCAGAAAUGAUGGCUUUGGUGGCAGAGGAAUAUGGAAGAAAGCCAUGGCUGUUGGGAUUAAAGAGAAAGAAUCCAAUACAACCAACUGAAAGAAAGGGAAGGUGAAACCAGAGCGACACAGUGGUUGCACCACAUCACGAAUGCAUGCAAUGCCACUGAACUGUACACUUUCAAAUGUGUAUUUUAAUUGUGGGGCGGCUGGGUGGCUCCAUCAAUUGAGCGUCCAACUCGCUUUUGGCUCAGGUCAUGAUGCAGGAGUCCUGGGAUUGAGUCCUGCGAAGGGCUUAGGGUUCUGCCGCCCUCUGCCCUUCUCCCUUGCCCUCACUCUCUCUCAAAUAAAAAAAAUUUUUUUAAUGGUUAA